CUGGCUCAGGAUGAACGCUAGCUACAGGCUUAACACAUGCAAGUCGAGGGGCAGCAUGAAGUCAGCUUGCUGACUUGAUGGCGACCGGCGCACGGGUGCGUAACACGUAUCCCAAUCUACCCAUGGCUCAGGGAUAGCCUUUCGAAAGAAAGAUUAAUACCUGAUGGUCUUACAUGGAGACAUCUCCUAGUAAGUAAAGAUUUAUCGGCGAUGGAGUGGGGAUGCGUCUGAUUAGAUAGUAGGCGGGGUAACGGCCCACCUAGUCGACGAUCAGUAGGGGUUCUGAGAGGAAGGUCCCCCACAUUGGAACUGAGACACGGUCCAAACUCCUACGGGAGGCAGCAGUGAGGAAUAUUGGUCAAUGGGCGCGAGCCUGAACCAGCCAAGUAAGCGUGAAGGACGACUGCCCUAUGGGUUGUAAACUUCUUUUGUUUGGGAAUAAAGUGGGCCACGUGUGGCCUUUUGUAUGUACCAUACGAAUAAGCAUCGGCUAAUUCCGUGCCAGCCGCGGC
rnacentral:rRNA from 1 species